UCUGCAGCGCAGCUCCGGAGACUGCAACCCCUAGGGGAGGCAGCACGACAUUAAAUAAAGCUACCGUUUGCAAGUUGGCUAAUAGCCAGCAACACGAUCGAAUUGCGGGGACCUCCUAAAGCCUAUAACACCAACCGUCUGGGGAAACUCGGUCGGGGCCCUUAUAAGGGGUGGUAAGAGAGUAUAGGAUAUUACAAUGGACAAUCCGCAGCGAAUACCCUACCGGCGAGAGCCUAUGGGUACCGUUCACAGACUAAGUGAUUGUGGGAGGGGGGCUAGUGUACCCCUUCUAAGAUAUAGUCGGCCUCUGUCCUAAUAGAUAGAGCUAGCGUGUCCGUAGGUGAACCUGCGGAAGGAUCAUUA
rnacentral:rRNA from 1 species